rnacentral:rRNA from 1 species
UACGUAGGGUGCAAGCGUUAAUCGGAAUUACUGGGCGUAAAGCGUGCGCAGGCGGCUUUGCAAGACAGAUGUGAAAUCCCCGGGCCUAACCUGGGAACUGCAUUUGUGACUGCAUGGCUCGAGUGCGGCAGAGGGGGAUGGAAUUCCGCGUGUAGCAGUGAAAUGCGUAGAUAUGCGGAGGAACACCGAUGGCGAAGGCAAUCCCCUGGGCCUGCACUGACGCUCAUGCACGAAAGCGUGGGGAGCAAACAGG